CCUUAUAUUUUUGAAUAUAUAUAUAUAUAUAUAUAUAUAUAUAUACAAGUAGAAAGAUAUAUUUUUUCAAUGCUUAAGUACUGAUAGAACAAUAUAGGAUAAAAUCUUUACAGAGCAGAAAAAUCUAUCAGCAACCAGCCAAUCCUACAUAUGCUGUUCUAUUAGUACUUACGAUAUUAGUACUUACGCAUUGAAAAAGUAUAUCUUUCUAUCUGGACUACAAUACAUUUCAGUGCUUCAAAAACAAACUUAUGUUUGCUUACAUAUGAUGUAAUACAUAUAUAUAUAUAUAUAUAUAUAUUAUGAGUAUUACAAUGGGCAUAUAAGCAAAACACAAUAUAUGUGUGACCAAUGAUAUAUAUAUAUAUAUAUAUGUGUGUGUGUGUGUGUGUGUGUGAGAACAUUUGAACAUAUGAAAUUGAGCAAUGUAUAAUAAACACAUGAAUGAACAUUGUAGAUAUGAAUAUAUCUUCUGUCCACAUUGACCCAUACCAUACUUGGGAGAAGUACUUGUCUUGCAUUUGAUAUGAUCUGAUACCAUGUGUUGAAACUGUUACAGUUGCUGUGUGGAAAAAAGCAUAACCAUUCUAAAACACAUGAAACCUGCAGUGGAACUGUGUCAGUGACCAGGUUGCAGUAAACAUGAUGAAAAUUUUAACACCAAGUAAUAAAUGUUUAAGUUAACAGUUUUUGUGUGUGCUUAAAUGGUUAAUAUGUCUUCCACACUAUAAUUGUCAUGUAUAUAUAUAUAUAUAAUAGUGUAUAAACAAUUUAUGUAUUUAUACACAAAAGAGGUGACCUUUGACAAGACACCUUACAUGCUAGGAAGGGCAGUUAAAGCCCAAACCAUGAAUAAGGGCAAUUUCAAAGGGAAUGAAAAUAAAAAUAUAUUUGUAGCCACCGGUAUGAAAAUUUUUCUAAAUUUUCUACCCUUAUUAUUUUCACGGUAUAUACCUAUAUAUAUGUACAUACUUGUAUUUAUAUAAUAGAGAUACAUCAUUAUGUCCAUUUUCCAGGCAGACAUGGAAUAGGAUGAUUCAACAGGAUUCAGUAGGUUUCAAGUUUACGUCUUGUUGCAAUGUCUCAUUUUUGGCUUGAUUUCUAUAGUUGGAUGCCCUCUCUAAUACCAACUAUUAGAGUGUAAUGGGUGCAUUAUACUACUUUAUAGAGUGUAAUGGGUGCAUUUCUUUUCUUGGCACCAGCAUUAUAGACCUUGCAUUGUAGUUUGCUAAGUGAAGAAGAGUUCCUAUAAUGGAAGUAAUAGACUUAUUGUGAAAGGACAGUAAUGGAGAGAAUAUCAGAGGAUACAGCAUCGGGAUGAGAGUAAAGGAGAAUCACACAUAUACAUACAUUCAUAUGCACACCAACUCCUCUCUACCAAAUAUUUUGGCUUUGUGUCUAAGGAAUUCUUCGGGGUAACAGGUUGAUGGAAUGGUUAGAGUAUCA